rnacentral:rRNA from 1 species
UACAGAGGGUGCAAGCGUUAAUCGGAAUUACUGGGCGUAAAGAGCACGUAGGUGGUGGUUCAAGUUGGAUGUGAAAGCCCCGGGCUUAACCUGGGAAGGUCAUCCAAGACUGAGCGGCUAGAGUAUAGUAGAGGGAAGUGGAAUUUCCGGUGUAGCGGUGAAAUGCGUAGAUAUCGGAAGGAACACCAGUGGCGAAGGCGACUUCCUGGACUAAUACUGACACUGAGGUGCGAAAGCGUGGGGAGCAAACAGG